rnacentral:rRNA from 1 species
AACGAACGCUGGCGGCGUGCCUAACACAUGCAAGUCGAACGCGAAAGGGGGCAACCCCCGGUAGCGUGGCAGACGGGUGAGUAACACGUGGGUAACCUACCCGGAGGUGGGGGAUAACCCUUCGAAAGGAGGGCUAAUACCGCAUUACAUCGCGAGGACCUCGGUUCUUGCGAUCAAAGCUGGCCUCUGUUUACAAGCUAGUGCCACUGGAUGGGCCCGCGCCCCAUUAGCUGGUUGGUGAGGUAACGGCUCACCAAGGCAACGAUGGGUAGCCGGCCUGAGAGGGCGACCGGCCACACUGGAACUGCGACACGGUCCAGACUCCUACGGGAGGCAGCAGUGAGGAAUCUUGCGCAAUGGGCGAAAGCCUGACGCAGCGACGCCGCGUGGAGGAUGAAGGUCUUCGGAUUGUAAACUCCUGUCGAGUGGGACGAAUGCCAUGAGGGUGAACAAUCCUCGUGGUUGACGGUACCGCUGGAGGAAGCCCCGGCUAACUCCGUGCCAGCCGCCGCGGUAAUAC